UCUGGUCGAACGGAGAAGACCGGAUAUCGAGGCGGUGCCACCGUGAAGGUCACCGGAAGCGGGACGGUCGAGCGUCGCCGCCGUCGUUCUAGGGGUGCCAAUUGCCUCUCCAGCUUCUUCUCUCUCUCAGGAGCCCCAGUACCAGGAUGGGAGAUAAUAUGGAACCAGAGAAUGCAAGCAAGGAGAUAGCAGAAGAAGAUGACGAUGCCCAUCUUCGCCACUCAAUACACAAUCUCCCAAAAAUUUCGAGUUUAAAGUGGGGAUGGUCUUUUCAAGUGAACUUGAAGCAUAUCACACGUAUGUGGCAUAUGCAUUACGUAAGGGAUUUGGAAUUCGG